GACGAACGCUGGCGGCGUGCUUAACACAUGCAAGUCGAGCGGUAAGGCCCUUUCGGGGGUACACGAGCGGCGAACGGGUGAGUAACACGUGGGUGACCUGCCCUCAGCUCUGGGAUAAGCCUGGGAAACCGGGUCUAAUACUGGAUAUGACUCCAUGACGCAUGUUGUGGGGUGGAAAGCCUUGUGCGGCUGAGGAUGGGCCCGCGGCCUAUCAGCUUGUUGGUGGGGUGANGGCCUACCAAGGCGACGACGGGUAGCCGGCCUGAGAGGGCGACCGGCCACACUGGGACUGAGACACGGCCCAGACUCCUACGGGAGGCAGCAGUGGGGAACCUUGCGCAAUGGGCGAAAGCCUGACGCAGCGACGCCGCGUGAGGGAUGACGGCCUGGUU
rnacentral:rRNA from 1 species